rnacentral:tRNA from 1 species
GCCGAAGUGGUGGAAUUGGUAGACACGCUAGAUUCAGGUUCUAGUGCUCGCAAGGGUGUGGGAGUUCGAGUCUCCCCUUCGGCACCA